rnacentral:tRNA from 1 species
GGGGGUAGAUAGGUGCUGGUGUGCCUGCCGGUCUUCAAAACCGUUCUGCCGUGCUAAGACCACGACGGGUGGGUUCGAUUCCCACAUGCCCUCGCCA